GACUUAACCCCUUUGUCGACAAGUCUACAAGUUGUUGAGUAGGAACAUCGAUAGUUUCUAUCACCCCUGCUUUCAUCUUGUCCGUGAUAAAAUGAUAGCCUAUUCCUAUGUUUUAGCUUCUUUUAUGUAAUACUGGAUUGGCUGCGAAUUGUAUAGCUGAUUUGCUGUCACUCAAAAUAGUGACAUGCAUUGGAUUGGGCACUCCUAGCUCAGUGAAAA
rnacentral:misc_RNA from 1 species